rnacentral:snoRNA from 1 species
GCUGGCGAUGACGAUGCUCUUGCCCUCUCUGAGCAGCUGUGGCUGAUGAGAGCAGUUGUAGCGCUCUGGAGCUGAGCCAGC